UUUCAGCUUGACUGCGCUGGCCAGGGGCCUCUUCGGGUCGGCCUUGGAGAAGCUCACCCUGGAGAAGACCAAGUAGUCCCCGGGCUGCAGGACGGUCAGCCAGCUGCUGUGGUAGUAGUUGACGUUGCUUCGCACCGAGUGCUUCAUGUCCCACUGAAGUACAGGAAGGCGAAUCCCCCCACAGUGAGCAGAAAAUGCAGCACUACGACUGCCAGAAGAGAGCGGAACAGAUUCUUGCUGUGGCUUGCAGAUGGACCCUGAGGCUGGAUGAACACCUGAGACUGGCGCGGGGGAAGCGGUGGCGGUGGCGACGCCACGCUACUGUGGUGAGAAAUCUACUCUGCAGGCAAAAAGUACUCACAUCUUCCUGUGACAGCAACGGUAACUUUAUGAGGGAAAGGAGGGCUGUGAAAAUUUGCUCUAAAGACACAGAAGAGGCACUGCAGGAAUGUUUUCAUGUCAGCAACUGGUUUUGUUAAAGAGGAACAUUUUAUUUACUGCUGUAACACCUGAAUUUCCUCUUUGGGAAUAAAUAACAUUUAUCAUAUGUUAUUUUAUUUAGACCAGGGUUUUUCAAACAUUUUGGGUCCAGGGAGUGCUUUGGCACACUUUGUGGCAUUUUGGUGCCAAGUAACUAUAAUAAAGUGUGUUGAGGAGCUUCAUUUGGUCUAAGACGACCCUCUGAUGCUUACAACUAAGCUCAUUGUUCAAGGAAUAGCUCUCUGGAACUGAGUUUGUAUCUGUGGAUAUGCAAAUGUUUCUAACCACUUGUUUUUCUUGUCAUGCUAUUGGCUUCACUGUGUGUGCAAAGUUGUUGCGCAUUCAUCAUACAGUCAAGGUUCAGGGUUCGAAUCUCUGCUACGGAUUUCUUGUGUGGAGUUUGCAUUGGCUCCCUGGGCUUGGGAGCAUGUUCUAGCUUUCUGCAACGUGUCGUAAGUUAUCUAGUUAUGCCAAUACCUCAAAAAGGCAUCUUGCCUUAGGAUACUUUGCGUGGUCGCUUUUGAGCUCCUUGUUGUUGGCCGUGAGUGCGCGCCCAUCACGGUGAGAAAGGCGGUAGUGCCAUGUAAGUGAAUGUUAUUUAUCUUAUUUCAUGAACUAUUGAUAGUUUUUACUGGUGUUUGGACUUAGACUACUAUUGCACUUAACUCUUAGUGGCAGCCAAUAUGUAAGGUCAUAGAAGAAGCCAACUAUUUUCUGUGCAGAGAAAUUUUAUUUUUUCAUUUUACAAAGCUAUAAAAAUGGGUAUUGUAUAUACAGUAAUUAACAGUAAAAAUGUAUUUUAGUACUUAGUUCAGUGUUGUGCGUUCCCUCAGCAAACAG